rnacentral:tRNA from 1 species
AAGAAAGACUGCAAGAGCUGCUAACUCACGCCCCCAUGACUAAACCCAUGGCUUUCUU